rnacentral:rRNA from 1 species
UACGUAGGGUGCAAGCGUUGUCCCGGAAUUAUUGGGCGUAAAGAGCUCGUAGGCGGUUUGUCGCGUCGGCUGUGAAAGCCCGGAGCUCAACUCCGGGUCUGCAGUCGAUACGGGCAGACUUGAGUGUUGCAGGGGAGACUGGAAUUCCUGGUGUAGCGGUGAAAUGCGCAGAUAUCAGGAGGAACACCGGUGGCGAAGGCGGGUCUCUGGGCAACAACUGACGCUGAGGAGCGAAAGCGUGGGGAGCGAACAGGA